ensembl:ncRNA F35D2.7 ncRNA
AAAGCUGAUAGGUCACUUUCAAUUAGAACGUCGUGGCAGCGUGGAAAGUGAGACGGCGGUAGUACAAAUUAGUCCGGUGGCUCAAGAAGGAGACGAAGGGAGCCGUGCGCGCGAAAUUCAAUCUGUUUUUAUGAAUGUGCAGUAGUAGUGAGAGUAGCUUCUUGACUUGAAUAUAAAAAGUCAAAACUCCUUUCAUUUUGAUGAAG